rnacentral:rRNA from 1 species
AUGGAGCGGAGGAGGCUCUCGCAGGAGGACGAGCUGCUGAGUGAGAGACGGCGGUCGCCGGAGGAGGAUGCUGUGGAGGAUAGGGUGACAAGGGAGCUGGCGGAGGCGGAGGAGAAGCGGAAGAGGGAGAAGGAGGAGGACGAUCUCGAAGAAUUUCAGCUGCAGCUGAUACUGGAGAUGAGCAACCGGGAAAUGGUCGCCAACCAGACAGACCCCUUUGAAGAACCUCGCAGCAAAGAGCAUUCCUCGGUGGAUUGGGCGAUAAUAAGGGAGUCGUGCGAGGUGGAGGAAAGGAAGCGGGAGAGGGAGAAGGAGGAGGAGGAGCUCGAGAAAUACCAGCUGGAGCUGGUGCUGGAGAUGAGCCAGCGGGAAAUGGAAAUCGAAGUCGCCAACCAGAUUUGUCAAGAACAGAAAGACCUCUCUGAAGAACCCUGCAGCAAGGAGUCUUAUGAAGAUGGAGAAUCCAGCAGCCAAACUUCAGAGAGCAUCAGCACCUUAUUGUCUUCUUUUGAAAUCAGUGAUCAAGCAAUUGAACUUAAAACCCUGGAGGACAUACUGAUUGAUGCAAAUGCAAAGCCGGCAAGGCUAUCAUAUACAUUUAUAAGAUCCAUCACAGGAAAUUUCUCUCAAGAGAUCGGCCGUGGUGGGUUUGGAGUUGUUUAUCUGGGACAUGUAGGAACUUGGAAGGUGGCUGUGAAAAAGCUUUCCAUAUUGCAGGGCUUCUCUGACAAGCCUUUUGUGGACGAGAUUAACUGUUUAAUGGGGAUAAGGCACAACAAUAUUGUCAGAUUUCUAGGUUAUUGUGCUGAUACACACGGAGAAUUUGUGCCAUUCAACGGAAGCCAUGUGAUGGCAGAGGUACCACAAAGAAUGUUAUGCUUUGAGUAUGUUCCUAACGGGAACCUUCAGAAGUAUCUCAAAGAUAAAUCUCACAAAGAUGAGUGGAAAACACAGUACCAAAUGAUUAGGGGAAUUUGUCACGGUUUAGACUAUCUUCACAACAAACGCAUUACUCAUUUGGAUUUAAAACCCGACAAUAUUAUUUUGGAUGCUUGUUUGGAGCCUAAAAUUACGGACUUCGGGCUAUCAAGAUGCUUUGAUGAAGGCAUAUCAAGAGUUUACACUAAAAUCAUUCGUGGAACACCGGGGAGUAUUGCACCAGAGAUCAUAGAUAGUGGAGAAAUAACUUUCAAGUCGGACGUGUAUGAUUUGGGUAUCAUAAUCAUGAAAAUAUUAACAGGGCGUAAUAACUUUGAUUUUGAAAAUUGGGAUACAUCUAUAGACGUGGAUGACCCACAGGUACAGAGCUGCAUUGGAAUAGCCAAAAAAUGUGUGCCUUUUAACCAACAUGAGAGACCUACAAUUGGUGAGAUCAUGCAAAAGCUCGACGAGAUAGAGAGGAUGGGAUUCGAAAAGCCAACACCAUAG